rnacentral:rRNA from 1 species
CUGGUUGAUCCUGCCAGUAGUCAUAUGCUUGUCUCAAAGAUUAAGCCAUGCAUGUCUAAGUAUAAGCCCUUGUACGGCGAAACUGCGAAUGGCUCAUUAAAACAGUUAUCGUUUCUUUGAUAAUUACUUACUACUUGGAUAACUGUAGUAAUUCUAGAGCUAAUACAUGCGUAAAGGUCCAACUCCUCGGAAGGGCUGCAUUUAUUAGAUACAAAACCUACCCGGAGCUCGCUCCGGAACUUAUGGUGAUUCAUAAUAACUAAGCGAAUCGCAUAGGCUUGCCUGGCGAUAGAUCUUUCAAGUUUCUGACCUAUCAGCUAUCGACGGUAGGGUAUUGGCCUACCGUGGCUAUGACGGGUAACGGAGAAUUAGGGUUCGAUUCCGGAGAGGGAGCCUGAGAAACGGCUACCACAUCUAAGGAUGGCAGCAGGCGCGCAAAUUACCCAAUCCUGACACAGGGAGGUAGUGACAAGAAAUAACAAUGCAGGGCUUCACAGUCUUGCAAUUGGAAUGAGUAGAUUUUAAAUCACUCUACAAGUAACAAUUGGAGGGCAAGUCUGGU